rnacentral:misc_RNA from 1 species
GAACGCAACUUGCGCUCUCUGGUAUUCCGGAGAGCAUGCCUGUUUGAGUGUCAUGAAAUCUCAACCAUUAGGGUUUCUUAAUGGCUUGGAUUUGGAGGUUGCCAUUCUGAAUGGCUCCUCUCAAAAGAGUUAGCGAGUUUAACUAUUGCUAUCUGGCGUAAUAAGUUUCGCUGGAAUGGUAUUGUGAAGCGCGCUUCUAAUCGUCUUCGGACAAUUACUUUGACUCUGGCCUCAAAUCAGGUAGGACUACCCGCUGAACUUAAG